GGAGGUGUUGCUGAGUGGUUGAAAGCCUUGGUUUGCUAAAUCAAUCUACAUUUUUAAUGGAAGCGGGGGUUCGAAUCCUACCACCUCCA
rnacentral:tRNA from 1 species